rnacentral:lncRNA from 1 species
CUGCCUCCUCUCCAAUACAAGGACCCUAAAGGUCACAGCACAGGAAUGGACCCCUAUUUCAGAAGAGUUGAGGCCAGGCACAGGAAAGUGACAUGCCCAAGGUCACACAGCUGGCGAGGGCUCCUCACUCUGCCCUGGGACCUCGGGUAAGGUGCAGAAACCCGUCCUACUCAUCGCCUCCUCACUCCUUCACCAGGCUGCGCUGGAAUCUGCACUCCACUCCUGGGUUACCCGGGAGACCGAUGGGCUCCUGUGCUCCCCGCCAGGGACUUCACCUGGGAACAGCAGGGACAUUACAGCCUGGACCUCAGCAAACACUGCUGCGGACCUGGACCCUCCUGGGAGUCCAGCUCUGACCCGAGGAGAGGGAGCUGCUACUCCCGGGCCCACUGCGCCCCUUCCUGGACCUCCCUGCCUCCCCACAGCCCUGCAGAAUCUUUGGCCUCUCCCUUCUCAAAGCCUCUUGUCAUCCAUGCCUGUCCCUAUCUCUCGUCUCCUCUGAGAGACGCUCCCGAUCCCAUUGCUGCAGAAGGGGCCCCAGAUGUCUGUCUUUGACCAAGAAUGUGACUCUCCC